UCAUAAAAUCAUCAUAAAAAAGGGGGAAGUACUGUACAGUACUUCCCCCUUUUUUAUGAUGAUUUUAUGA